rnacentral:rRNA from 1 species
GCAAUGCCGCGUGAGUGAAGAAGGCCCUCGGGUUGUAAAGCUCUUGUUGUCAGGGAAGAAACGGUCUACUCUAAUACAGUGGGCUAAUGACGGUACCUGAAGAAUAAGCACCGGCUAACUACGUGCCAGCAGCCGCGGUAAUACGUAGGGUGCAAGCGUUAAUCGGAAUUACUGGGCGUAAAGCGUGCGCAGGCGGUUUUAUAAGUCUGAUGUGAAAUCCCCGGGCUCAACCUGGGAACUGCAUUGGAGACUGUAAGGCUAGAGUGUGUCAGAGGGGGGUAGAAUUCCACGUGUAGCAGUGAAAUGCGUAGAUAUGUGGAGGAAUACCGAUGGCGAAGGCAGCCCCCUGGGAUAACACUGACGCUCAUGCACGAAAGCGUGGGGAGCAAACAGGAUUAGAUACCCUGGUAGUCCACGCCCUAAACGAUGUCUACUAGUUGUCGGGU